AUUGAACGCUGGCGGCAUGCCUUACACAUGCAAGUCGAACGGCAGCACGGGGGCAACCCUGGUGGCGAGUGGCGAACGGGUGAGUAACAUAUCGGAACAUACCCUAGAGUGGGGGAUAACGUAGCGAAAGUUACGCUAAUACCGCAUACGAUCUAAGGAUGAAAGUGGGGGAUCUUCGGACCUCAUGCUCAUGGAGUGGCCGAUAUCUGAUUAGCUAGUUGGUGAGGUAAAGGCUCACCAAGGCGACGAUCAGUAGCUGGUUUGAGAGAACGACCAGCCACACUGGAACUGAGACACGGUCCAGACUCCUACGGAGGCAGCAGU
rnacentral:rRNA from 1 species